GCUACUUUCAGAUACCUUGACAUUAUGGCCGGGUUUCAGGUGUAGGAAACCAGAAGAGCCGAAGAGCAUCAAAGACCUCCGACGGGGAAAAACACCUUUUUAAAAUUAAUAUUGAAUUAAGUCGAACAAACCUCACCAUGUGUGGUAAUCGAAAUCGCAACCUUAGAUUUGACAAGCUAGACUAAAUGAUCACUGUAAAUAAAAUACUAGCCGCCGCAGCCCCUAGUCCGAGAUUGCUCUGACGUCCAAAGGCUGAUUUACCAGAAAGCUUGGGCCCUGGAUAUCUGCUCGCCCAAAAUGGCAAAACAGUCUUUGGACGUCAGAGAAAUCUCAAACUACGCGGCCUUAAAACUGAAGUGUACAUGUAUAUCAAUGUCAGAAGUCAGAAGCUUCAGAAAACUACUAGUAAAUUAUGUUUCAAGAG
rnacentral:lncRNA from 1 species